rnacentral:rRNA from 1 species
AACCUGGCGGCGUGCUUACCAUGCUACUGAACGAUGAAGCCCAGCUUGCUGGGUGUCUUAGUGGCGAACGGGUGAGUAACACGUGAGUAACCUGCCCUUAACUCUGGGAUAAGCCUGGGAAACUGGGUCUAAUACCGGAUAGGAGCGCCUACCGCAUGGUGGGUGUUGGAAAGAUUUAUCGGUUUUGGAUGGACUCGCGGCCUAUCAGCUUGUUGGUGAGGUAAUGGCUCACCAAGGCGACGACGGGUAGCCGGCCUGAGAGGGUGACCGGCCACACUGGGACUGAGACACGGCCCAGACUCCUACGGGAGGCAGCAGUGGGGAAUAUUGCACAAUGGGCGCAAGCCUGAUGCAGCGACGCCGCGUGAGGGAUGACGGCCUUCGGGUUGUAAACCUCUUUCAGUAGGGAAGAAGCGAAAGUGACGGUACCUGCAGAAGAAGCACCGGCUAACUACGUGCCAGCAGCCGCGGUAAUACGUAGGGUGCGAGCGUUAUCCGGAAUUAUUGGGCGUAAAGAGCUCGUAGGCGGUUUGUCGCGUCUGUCGUGAAAGUCCGGGGCUUAACCCCGGAUCUGCGGUGGGUACGGGCAGACUAGAGUGCAGUAGGGGAGACUGGAAUUCCUGGUGUAGCGGUGGAAUGCGCAGAUAUCAGGAGGAACACCGAUGGCGAAGGCAGGUCUCUGGGCUGUAACUGACGCUGAGGCACGAAAGCAUGGGGAGCGUACAGCAUUAGAUACCCUGG